UAGCCAUGCAUGUCUAAGUAUAAACCAAAUUUAUAGUGAAACUGCGAAUGGCUCAUUAAAUCAGUUAUAAUUUACUUGAUAAUUUUAUACCAGUGGAUAACCGUGGUAAUUCUAUGGCUAAUACAUACAUUAAAGGGCCUUACUAUGUAAGGCCUGUAGUUAUUAGAUAAAAAACCAAUGCAUGCAAAUGCUUAUUUGGUGAUUCAUAGUAAACUUACAGAUCGUUGUCUUUGACGACGUGUCAAUCAAAUUUCUGCCCUAUCAACUGUCGAUGGUAAGGUAGUGGCUUACCAUGGUUGCAACGGGUGACGGGGAAUAAGGGUUCUAUUCCGGAGAGGGAGCCUGAGAAACGGCUACCACAUCCAAGGAAGGCAGCAGGCGCGCAAAUUACCCAAUCCUAAUACAGGGAGGUAGUGACAAUAAAUAACAAUCCAGGGCCCUUAUGGGUCAUGGAAUUGGAAUGAAUACAAAUUAAAACUCUUAAUGAGGAACCAUUGGAGGGCAAGUCUGGUGCCAGCAGCCGCGGUAAUUCCAGCUCCAAUAGCGUAUAUUAAAGUUGUUGCAGUUAAAACGCCCGUAGUCGAAUUUUUGGGAGAAUGGGAAUUUGAAAGGGUUUUGGCUUUAAGUCAAAUACUUUUUCUUUUUCUUGAUCUCUCAUUUUAUAUUCCUGGUCUUUGGGCUUAGCUGGUACUUUACUGUAUUGGUUAGGUCAUUUCCUUCGGGUGGGCCAGGAAUGAUUACUUUGAAAAAAUUAGAGUGUUCAAAGCAGGCUUUUUAAGCCGAAUACAUUAGCAUGGAAUAAUAAAAUAAGACUAUGGUUUUAUUUUGUUGGUUUAUAAAACUAAAGAAAUGAUGAAUAGGUCUGGUUGGGGAUAUUAGUAUUUCUUAGUCAGAGGUGAAAUUCUUGGAUUUAUGAAAGACUAACUUCUGCGAAAGCAUUUAUCAAGGACAGACUCAUUGAUCAAGGACGAAAGUUGGGGGAUCGAAGAUGAUUAGAUACCGUCGUAGUCUCACCAUAAACUAUGCCAACUAGGGAUUGGGGCUGAUUUUAUCAGUCUCAGCACCUUGUGAGAAAUCAAAGUUUUGGGUUCUGGGGG
rnacentral:rRNA from 1 species